CUCGUAGGUGGUUUGUCGCGUUGUUCGUGAAAACUCACAGCUUAACUGUGGGCGUGCGGGCGAUACGGGCAGACUUGAGUACUGCAGGGGAGACUGGAAUUCCUGGUGUAGCGGUGGAAUGCGCAGAUAUCAGGAGGAACACCGGUGGCGAAGGCGGGUCUCUGGGCAGUAACUGACGCUGAGGAGCGAAAGCGUGGGGAGCGAACA
rnacentral:rRNA from 1 species